rnacentral:rRNA from 1 species
ACGUAGGGGGCUAGCGUUAUCCGGAAUUACUGGGCGUAAAGGGUACGUAGGUGGUUUCUUAAGUCAGAGGUGAAAGGCUACGGCUCAACUUCAGUAACCCUUUUGAAACUGUAAGCCUAGAGUAUGUGAGAGGAAGACGGAAUUCUCGGUGUAGCGGUGAAAUGCGUAGAUAUCGGGAGGAACACCAGUGGCGAAGGCGGUCUUCUGGCAUAAAACUGACGCUCAUGUGCGAAAGCGUGGGAAGCGAACGG